UGAGCAAUCUGCCCUUCACAUCGGAAUAAGCGUUGGAAACGACGUCUAAUGCCGAAUACGACCUCCUUUCGCAUGAUCGGAGGUGGAAAGCUCCGGCGGUGAAGGAUGAGCUCGCGGCCUAUCAGCUUGUUGGUGAGGUAAUAGCUCACCAAGGCGAUGACGGGUAGCCGGCCUGAGAGGGUGACCGGCCACACGUGGGACUGAGGCACGGCCCAGACCUNUACGGGAG
rnacentral:rRNA from 1 species